GUUCCGCCUCAACUAAGUGGAAGGUGAUUUUUCAUAAAUUGCCAUUUAAUUGAUGUUGAAACAUACUUGUGAUUCUUCGUGUGCAUGGUUAUAUGUCUCUUCAUUCAUAGUCAUAUUUCAAUUAGCCAAUUAUGGAGAUUUUUAAGUCCUUUAUCGUCUUUUUUAUGAACUCAAUUUCGUAACAAAUAUAAAACGCAAGUUGUUGCAUUACAUUCCAUUGUAAAUGUAUGGUAAUCGGGAAAAAAAGGUUUAGUAUAAUGACAUCACUUUUUGUGGAAAUUUUUGGAUAAUCUUGAUGUAGAUAAUGUCUAGAAGAAAUCAAAUAGGAUAAGCAACCCUGUUACCAUCCAAUACAGUCUAAACUUAGACCUGAUAUGAUGGUCAAAUCUAAUCAUAUAACCUGACCCUAACAAAUUUGGGAUUAAGGCAUAGUUUAGUUGAGUUGAGCAGUUAAAAUGUUUAAUUGCAUAACAGGAAACCAAAGACAAAUAAUAUAAGCUAUCCUAACAUGUUACUAUUCAAUCUGUUUGGCGGGUGACUGUGUCUAUAAGGUACUGAUAAAGCUUUUAACCUAUACACUGAUGUUGUUUUGGUUGACAUGGUUUCUUCUAACUAGAGUUGUUUGCAGAGAUCAAAGGAAAUAUAGAAAAAGUGUUUUUCCCCCCAACUUAGGUGUUGAGAAAGCUCAUGAUCAUGUUAGCUAGGGUUUUCUUUGAUGUGGUUAUGGUUAUGGAUGAUAAGGGAUAUGGUGUUAUAUGAAUUAUUGGACUUUGGUUAUUUGUCCUUGAUUAUGCCUUUUAAUAGUACAGAGAAUCGAAUUGGUUUGUGGCAUCUAGAAGUAAGAAGUUUGAAGUAGGUUUAUGAGAGCAUAUUCUCAAAGGGAUGGUGACAAUAAGGAAGUCAUGAUCUUGUGGAAAUGCAUUGCUUUGCUUCAAAGCAUGAAAAAAGAAUAUAAUGACAAGUAAAUCUACAUAGGCAAGGCCUCUCUAAGUAGUCACUUAUAGAGGCAUUAACGUGUCAUGUUAAAUACUGGUUAUGAAUGUGUGAUAAUUUGACAUAAUGCUAUACGUAUAACACCGUUCUAGGUUUUGAUGUGAUUCUUCAGUCCUAAUACAUGGGUCACCUUUAAAAAUGGAAAGUAUAGACUUACACAUUAAAGUUGAGAAGCAUAAGGGUAGACUUGUUUUAAUGAUUGAUAGACUUGUGAAGGGUAUGGCCAAGGCCUCUAAGUGUCAUGUUUAGUGUUGUUAAAGGCAAGGAAAGGCACUAGGCAAGGUGCCAGGAGAGGUGAGGUGACCCUCUAGCGCCUCGUCUGGCACCGCCUUGCCUUGCUUGCAAGAGGAGACUGCCUGGGAGGAAGAGGCGAUUGGCGUGAGGCGAGGGAGGCAAUGCCUCUUGCAAUUCGUCUACUUUUUUUAAUUUUUAAUUGUUCUUUUAUGGAACAAAAAUUUAAAAAACCCUAAGGAGGCUCUUCUUUUGUCACGCCAAAACGAGGAUACGUUGCUUCCUCUCUUUCAUAGCAGCUCUCUCUUCUCUCUCAAUCCUCAGGUAUGUCUCAUCUUCCCCUCUCUCUCUCCUCUACUCCUUUCCUCUAUUUCUU
rnacentral:misc_RNA from 1 species